rnacentral:lncRNA from 1 species
CUCAAAAAAAUGAGAGGAUAUUACUUUUACCUUCCUGUUGAAUAAAAGAUAUUUGUCAGCAGUAAGGUAUAUUUUUUGAAAAAGAAGUUUCUUAGUGAAGGAAUAAGUGCCUCUAAAGUUGAGCUUGAUGAAGUUCGACAGGUAGAAGAACUGACACCAGUGACUGAAUCUGAAUCGAAUUUGAUAAGAUCAAAUCUAAAGCCCAAUAUACAAACAUCGUUAAGAUGAU